GAUGAACGCUAGCUACAGGCUUAACACAUGCAAGUCGAGGGGCAUCAGGAAGAAAGCUUGCUUUCUUUGCUGGCGACCGGCGCACGGGUGAGUAACACGUAUCCAACCUGCCCUUUACUCGGGGAUAGCCUUUCGAAAGAAAGAUUAAUACCCGAUGGCAUAAUGAUUCCGCAUGGUUUCAUUAUUAAAGGAUUCCGGUAAAGGAUGGGGAUGCGUUCCAUUAGGUUGUUGGUGAGGUAACGGCUCACCAAGCCUUCGAUGGAUAGGGGUUCUGAGAGGAAGGUCCCCCACAUUGGAACUGAGACACGGUCCAAACUCCUACGGGAGGCAGCAGUGAGGAAUAUUGGUCAAUGGGCGCUAGCCUGAACCAGCCAAGUAGCGUGAAGGAUGAAGGCUCUAUGGGUCGUAAACUUCUUUUAUAUAAGAAUAAAGUGCAGUAUGUAUACUGUUUUGUAUGUAUUAUAUGAAUAAGGAUCGGCUAACUCCGUGCCAGCAGCCGCGGUAAUACGGAGGAUCCGAGCGUUAUCCGGAUUUAUUGGGUUUAAAGGGAGCGUAGGUGGACUGGUAAGUCAGUUGUGAAAGUUUGCGGCUCAACCGUAAAAUUGCAGUUGAUACUGUCAGUCUUGAGUACAGUAGAGGUGGGCGGAAUUCGUGGUGUAGCGGUGAAAUGCUUAGAUAUCACGAAGAACUCCGAUUGCGAAGGCAGCUCACUGGACUGCAACUGACACUGAUGCUCGAAAGUGUGGGUAUCAAACAGGAUUAGAUACCCUGGUAGUCCACACAGUAAACGAUGAAUACUCGCUGUUUGCGAUAUACAGUAAGCGGCCAAGCGAAAGCAUUAAGCAUUCCACCUGGGGAGUACGCCGGCAACGGUGAAACUCAAAGGAAUUGACGGGGGCCCGCACAAGCGGAGGAACAUGUGGUUUAAUUCGAUGAUACGCGAGGAACCUUACCCGGGCUUAAAUUGCAGUGGAAUGAUGUGGAAACAUGUCAGUGAGCAAUCACCGCUGUGAAGGUGCUGCAUGGUUGUCGUCAGCUCGUGCCGUGAGGUGUCGGCUUAAGUGCCAUAACGAGCGCAACCCUUAUCUUCAGUUACUAACAGGUCAUGCUGAGGACUCUGGAGAGACUGCCGUCGUAAGAUGUGAGGAAGGUGGGGAUGACGUCAAAUCAGCACGGCCCUUACGUCCGGGGCUACACACGUGUUACAAUGGGGGGUACAGAAGGCAGCUAGCGGGUGACCGUAUGCUAAUCCCAAAAUCCUCUCUCAGUUCGGAUCGAAGUCUGCAACCCGACUUCGUGAAGCUGGAUUCGCUAGUAAUCGCGCAUCAGCCACGGCGCGGUGAAUACGUUCCCGGGCCU
rnacentral:rRNA from 1 species